ensembl:lncRNA
CUGCGAAAGGGCAAAGUGUGGGCAGCUCAAAGUUAGAGAUUAAACACAUAGUGUACAGAUGGACGGGAGCAAAUUUUCCAUAAUCUACAACAAAACGCUGAUCAAGAGUCGCUGGGUUUAAUAGAGGACUGACAGCGCCUGCAGUCACCACCUCUCAUUAACCAGCAGGAGUUAAAGAACCCAAAGCCACAUAAAUCGCUGCGAUAUAAAGUUUCGCAGGGCAGACAGAGGGACAGACAGAGGGGGAUAGAAGCCCUUUCACCGGGAACAUCUGGAACUUUCCAGCCUCUCCAGAUAGAGACACACACCAUUUUGAGGAUAUGAAAGCUGUCACAUCUUUUAUAUGGCGGCACUCUCAUUAAAGACUGGGAGGGCGUGCGCCACGGUAAUUGUUUUAAUUUAUUUGUUUAUGGCAAAGACAGAGGGGGACGGGCACAUGGCACUCAGUUUUUUUUUUUUUUCUUCUUUCUUUUUUUUUAUUGGGAACAUAUGGAACGCAUUUAUCACCAUUUGCAGCGAUCGGCCUAAAUGAUUUUAUUAACUAAUUUGUAACUUUACACUUUUUUAAUCAAACACAUGCUGCGCACCGUAAUGUUUUGAUAAUGCUCCCGGGCUUUGUAAAGGGAGCCGCGGCAGAAGCCAAAGGGAAAUAAAAAGUGAGAGAGAGUGAAACGAAAUGAAAAUGCGGCGAGAGGCGAGGGCUGCCGGGGAUGGGAGAGGCCGCUGCCUCGCAGGCAUUAGAAGGCGGCCUCGGUGAUAUAUGGCGGUGAUGAUGAAGAUUAUUAUGGCGUUCUGCAUCGAGGGGAAGUCGCAAAGGGCUCGAAGGACUUACGAUCCACUCCCACACUCCUCUGACAGACGGAAGAUUCACACCAGGGACUGGCCAUUACAAGUUUUAACAUCUGAGGUUUGGGUUUUCAUUAGUGCACUUGUCUGUGUGUGUUUCCACAUAGCAAAGCAUGCUUCUACUGUAUGCAUAUGCUUAUUAACCUUUUUUUUUUUUAAUCUGACACGGUUGUUACCUAACUGA